UACGUAGGGACCGAGCGUUGUCCGGAAUCAUUGGGCGUAAAGAGCGUGUAGGCGGCCUUUUAAGUCCUGCGUGAAAUCCUGCGGCUCAACCGCAGACGGUCGUGGGAAACUGGAAGGCUAGAGUGCGGGAGAGGAGAGUGGAAUUCCCGGUGUAGCGGUGAAAUGCAUAGAUACCAUAAAGAACACCGAUUGCGAAGGCAGCUUACUAGGCUGUAACUGACGCUGAGGCACGAAAGUGUGGGGAUCAAACAGG
rnacentral:rRNA from 1 species